rnacentral:lncRNA from 1 species
GGUGCUCACGCACACUUGGCUCCAGAGCAAAUCAUUGUGUGUGCCCUUUGACGUGAGAGCUGUGCCAACCUCCUGCUCCCUUCUCUCUCCUCUUCCCUCUUCCCUGCCCUCUCACCCACCUUUUUUCUCAUUUCUCAUGUGAACUAGCAACCACUCUAACACAGAGAGAUGGCUCAGCAACAACAUUCAUUUUUGCAUUAAAAAAAGAAGAAGAAACGUUUUGGCUGCGGGGUAAGUACCGGCGUAUGAAGCCUGGGAACCCAUGUUAAAGCCACAGACAGCAGCAAACUGUCACCUCAGCACUUUUGAGGCCAGACGGGAAGCAGUAAAAAGAGAGGCCUAGAAACUGGGGGCCAGAUAGCUUGGUGCGCAAGGCAAUAAAGAACUAGAAACUGUCUCAGACAAGAUGGGUUGGACAUAUUAUACUUGAGGUAACCUCUGACCUCCACAUGCUUUCCGUCUGUCUGUGUCUGUCUGUCUGUUUCUCUCUCUCUCUCUCUCUCUCUCUCUCUCUCUUUCUCUCUCUCUCAUGCCCUUAUACAUAUAUUUAUGCAUCAUAUAUAAACGAAUACUUUUCCAAAACUAGAUGUUGUGGUUUAUUCUUACAACCCUGUCCAGGAGAUGGAGGCCAGAGGAUUAUAUCCAUCCUCCAAUAUAGACCAGCCUGGGAUACAUGAGAUCUUGUCUCAAAAAAAAAAAAGAUUUUUAAAAUAAUUGUUUUCUCCCCACUGAAGACUAGAAUGUGGUUUUACGGAGACCCUAAAGCUGCCUGUUGCAGCAAGGGUGUGCGGAAGCCCCAGAGGAGAGCAGGAACUUCAGGGGACUUCUGCACUGUCAGCAGUUCCCUCCUGCUUGUGGCUCUGGUCAAGUCACAGCACUUCUUCCAACUCUUGAGGGUGGAAGAUGGAACUCCUUAGACCUGACCUCUGUUGAAGUGUCUCUGUGUGCUGCUGGAAGUUUCCAGGGCCAGUAGACACAUGUACGAAUGUAUCUUGCACCUAUCUGAACUUCUGUCGCUUCAUCUGAGGAAUGUGUAACUUUGCUGGGGUGGGGGGUACCUUAGAACACAAACUCAGGCCUUAUACCCAAGCAUGCUGGGGUGCCAGGAAGCCUUUUGCCGAGUAGUGGAUACCUGCACCCAUCUAUGAAAGACCAGGACCCUCUUCUUGCAGGACUUUUCUUAAUGAUGUCUGCAGUCUCUAUGGAGAUUCUCUGUCUCCUGAUCUCUCAUUCAGUUCUCUUGAUUCUUGCCAUCUGUUGGGCUGGGCAGCCCCCACCCUCACCCUUUGAGAAGGUCUUGCUAUCAUGAAAUCAUUUCUAAAAAGAAGAGUGAAUGCAGGCACUCUGGAUGCAUGACUGUGUGAGAGGAUAUCCUUAGUGCGCGCGCGCGUGUGUGUGUGUGUGUGUGUGUGUGUGUGUGUGUGUGUGUGUUUGCAUAUGGAGGCCAGAGGUUGAUGUUGGAUGUCUUUAGCUACUGUGCUCUCCCCUACCCCCUCUCACUCUGCUUUAGUUUUUGAGACAUGGUCUCUCACCAAGCUAGAGCUAUGUUCAGCUCCACUCAGUGAGGCUGCCUGCGCAGAGAGCCCUCGGGAUCUUCUUCUCUCCUUUGCCCAUGAAACACUGGUGCUCCUGACACUCAAGCCUUCCUGCUUGCCAGGCAGGCACUUUGCCCCCCUCCUGCACCUACCCCCCCCCCAAAGCCAUCCUCUCAGCCUCUGCUUUUUCAUUUUUAUUUUUAAAGUGUUUCUUGUAGCCUAGGCUGACCUGGAACUUGAACUCACUGUGUAGCCGAGGAUAGCCUUGACCUUCUGAUCUUCCUCUUCCCAUCACCCCGGUGCUGUCAUUACAGCUAUGAACCGCCAUGCUUGGUUUACAUGAGUCUGGGGAGCUGACCCAGGGCUUCAUAUCUGCGAGGAAAGCACUCUGACUGAGCUAGAUCCCUAAGCCCACACACUUACCUUUUAAUUUUCACUAUUAUAGUUUUAUAUUAUGGGUGUGUGUGUGUGCAUAUGGAAGUCAGAAGGCAACUGGUGAAGUCUCUCUUCUUCCUCUGUGUCUCAGAGAACAAACUCUUAAAGGAGCUUUGAUAGCAAGCUCCUUUACCCACUGAGCCAAGCCUUUUUUUUUUUUUUUUAAUUUGGGAGUGAAUGCCACUGGGGUCUAGCCUUCACUAUUGCCACUGGGGUCUAGCCUUCACUAUUGUUGAGCGGAUUUCCUCUUAUCUCUCCUGUCCCUACUGGAGAUGCUAAUUUGCGCCUUUUUGCCUUUCUAUCCUUGUUUCCUAGACCUCGGAGAUUAUAUUUCAGGAAGCUGGGUGAGGAGAUUCAAAAGAAAACUCUGUGGUAAGCAAGAAGCAUGAAGCCCCAAGGCUAUAGGGGAGCAGAGACAAUGGAAGGUGAAAAGGGAAACCAGCCGCGGAGAAGGGAACCCUGCACAUCCUAAAGGAGAAAGUGAAGAUAGCAGUAGAGACUGAGAGUUAGAGCCAGGUGGAACCAGGAAGCUGCUCCAAGAAGCUGAAGGCAGGGUCUCAAAUAGAACUCUUUAAGUUGUCCUGACCUUGAAUUAUAAAAACUGCCCAGUCAGUGAAUAUGAAGGUAUUGAACUCCUCCUGUGUUUUAAGUCCCAGGGACACUGCCCUUAGUAAGUCUGUCCCCAGAGCUGUGCUGUCAGGGUCAGGGCCUGGACUCUGGCAGCCCCAACCCAAGCCUGGGUUUAGCCACCAUCCUCCAUAGGUCAGCUAAACAAGUCACUAUGGGAAGCAGAGAAGAAGGUCACUGACCCCACGAGUCUAACUUCAGGGUCCCAACAUGAGGUUUAGGUUUAAAUAGAGAGCAAAAGGCACACAGGGCUUCGUGUUCCUAGUCUUAAUACUAUCCCUCUGAUUAUGACCUUCUAGCAUUUUCUGGGCUUCUGUCUCUCCUGCAAGGUGGACUGGUGAGUUGCUCACACUGUGUGAAAGGGAGAAGAAGCAGAUUGAAAAUCAGGACUUAGCACAGAGCCCAACAUUCCGAAUAAGGCAAGUUCUAGAAGAAGGCCACAGCCCUGGAGUCACCGAGGUGUCCUACAGACUGAUGAGCGCUAUAAAUAGAAGCCCUAAGGAAUGACAGGAAGCCAGUAGCCAAACACACCCAAAGAGAAAAACUGGCUGGGGUAUGUUCAGGUGUCUGUGCGCCACUGGAAUGCUAGGAGAGCUAUCUGAAGACCCCUUCUCUAGUUCCUGGUAGGAUAUGGGACACUAAGCUUUUACAUGGACUUAUAUUUGUGCUGGACCCUAUCAGCUUGGUGAGUAAACCUUUGCAUAGAUGCAUGUGAGUGUCAUUAAUGUUAGUUCUCAGAAAUGUAUGGCAAUCUUUCCUCUUUCUUCUCCUCUUAGAUUUGCUUUAGGAAUUACUAUACAGUUUACUUAAGACACCUCUUGCUACAUCUUAGCCAAGAGAAGGGUCCCCUUAGAUAAAGAAGACCCCAGAUGUUGGCAUGACUCACUAGGAGUAGGCUAGCUCUACCUUUCUUCUUCCUCUUUUUGUCUCUCCCUUCCUUCCACCGGACUCCCUGACCAUUGUAGGGUCAAGUCUACAAUGAUAGGUAUUAUCAAUUGUUGUUGGUUCCAUAUGGCCCACUCCUGCCUGCUACCCUGCCAACCCCCAGGAGGUCGGUGCCUACAGGCUUGGCAACUUCUUGCAUGGCUCAGAGUUUAGCUACUGCCUUAGAGUCUUGAGUGUCCUCAUUCAACAAAAGUCCACGAAUCUCAGCUGGUCAGGGGCACCUCUUAUUUUAAGGCAAAAGGACUUGUGGUAUAUUUUGAGAAGGUUUCUUGCUUUUCCUACUAGUGUUGCUGCUGGCUUCCUAGUAAUUUCUUCUUGGGAAGAUAGGUCAAGAGACUCAAGGACUCACUAAAAGAGCAGUUUGUUCUAGAGCUUUCAGAAUCUUGGUUCAAUUUUUUUUUCUUUUCUUAAAAUUUUUUAUUUUAUGGGUAUGGGUAUUUUGUUGCAUGUAUAUCUUUAUGACAUGCAUGCCUGGUACCUGCUGAAGACAAAGGAGGGUAUUAGGUCCCUUGGAACUGGAGUCAUAGAUGGUUGUGAGCCACCAUAUGGGAACUGAACCAGGUCCUUUCCACGAACAUCAAGUGCUCUUAACUGUCAAGUAACUCCCUAGCCUCCCUUGGGUCAAUUUUAAGAAUGUCUCUUUAAAACAUUUUUUAACGUAUGUGUACACAUGUACAUAUGUGGAUGAGUACAUGUAUGUUUACAUGUGCACCAUAGGGUACUUAUGGAUGUCAGAGGACAACGACAUGCAGCGAACAGGAGCUAGUAUUCUCCCACUGUAUGGGUCCUAAAGUUUGUCAACAGAUGGUCAUCCACUGAGCCAUCUCCUUGCUCUCCAGUUACAAACAAACAAACAAACAAACAAACCAACCCCCAAAAUAGACUAGUAUUCUCUAAGGUGACAUGCAUUUGCAAAAGGCCAGUCAUAUUAUUAGCAAUGCCACUCAAUUUAUCAGUUGUAUGUAUGGUCACUCUUCGUCGUCAACUUGAAUGGAUCUCUAGGAGACACAGGUCUGGACAUAGCUGUGAGGACAUCUUCAGAGAAGAUUUAACUGAACAGGGAAGACCCACACUGAAUGUGGGCGGCACUACCCCUAGACUGAAUAAGAUAUUCAAGGAAGGAUGGAAGGAAGGAAGGAAGGGAAGGGGAAGGGAAGAAGGGAAGGGAAGAAGAGAAGGGAAGAAGGGAAGGGAAGAAGGGAAGGGAAGAAGGGAAGGGAAG